UUCUGAAGUUGGAUCUAGUUUUGAAACUGGAUCUGGUUCUGAAGCUAAUUUUGAAACUGGAACUGGGUCUGGUUCUAGAGCUGGAUUUGGAUCUAGAUUUUAAGCUAGAUCUGAAUCUGAGGCUAGAUCUGGUUUUGAACCUGGAUCUGGAUCUGAAGCUGGAUCUGGAUCUAGAUUUGAAGCUGGAUCUGGAUCUGAAGUUGGAUCUGGUUUUGAAACUGGAUCUGGUUCUGAAGCUAAUUUUGAAACUGGAACUGGGUCUGGAUCUGAAGCUGGAUUUGGAUCUAGAUUUUAAGAUAGAUCUGAAUCUGAGGCUGGAUCUGGUUUUGAACCUGGAUCUGGAUCUGAAGCUGAAUCUGGAUCUAGAUUUGAAGCUGGAUCUGGAUCUGAAGCUGGAUCUGGAUCUAGAUUUGAAGCUGGAUCUGGAUCUGAAGUUGAAUAUGGUUUUGAAACUGGAUCUGGUUCUGAAGCUAAUUUUGAAACUGGAGCUGGGUCUGGAUCUGAAGCUGGAUUUGGAUCUAGAUUUUAAGGUAGAUCUGAAUCUGAGGCUGGAUCUGGUUUUGAACCUGGAUCUGGAUCUGAAGCUGGAUCUGGGUCUAGAUUUGAAGCUGGAUCUAGAUCCGGUUUUGAACCUGGAUCUGGUUCUGAAGCUAAUUUUGAAACUGGAACUGGAUCUGGAUCUGAAGCUGGAUCUGGAUGUAGAUUUGAAGCUGGAUCUGUUGUGUAUGUGUGUGUGUGUUGGUGUCCUUCCUCUGGUCAACGCAGCUCAAAUGGAGCUUUGUUGUAGGUUCACAUCCAGUUAAAAAGAAACACCAUCUGGCACUAAAACACAGCAGAGAUUUAAUACAACAGAUUGGAGAGAGAGAGGGCGGGGGGGGGGCGAGAGAGAGGGAGAGUGUGUGUGUGUGUGUGUGUGUGUGUGUGUGUGUGUGUGUGUGUGUGUGUGUGUGUGUGUGUGUGUGUGUAAUCUGGAUUGCAGCUUUGUUGUCAUACAAAUGUGUGUAAACACUGAUCACUGAGCUUGAUGUGUCGCAGCCUGUAAAUCUGACUUGAACCACAUUCACACAUAUGUUGAACAUAGUAAAACAUUAAACAUUUGACUGAACUCAUUUAAAUGAAUCUGAUGGGAUAAGGAGAGGAAGCCUGGAGAAUACACACAGAUGGGUUCUUACAUUAGAACCGGGGG
rnacentral:lncRNA from 1 species